rnacentral:rRNA from 1 species
GAUGAACGCUGGCGGCGUGCCUAAUACAUGCAAGUCGAGCGAACAGACGAGGACCUUCCUCCUCAGUCGUUAGCGGCAGACGUGUGAGUAACACGUGGAUAACCUCCUUAUCACACUGGGAUAACUUCGGGAAACCGGAGCUAAUACCGGAGAAUAUAUUGAACCGCAUGGUUCAAGAGAGAAAGACGGUUUUGCUGUCACUCAUAGAUGGACCCCCUGCGCAUUAGCUAGUUGGUAAGGUAACGGCUUACCAAGGCGGCGCUUGGUAGCCGACGCGAGCGAGUGGUCGGCGACACUGGAACUGAGACACGGUCAAUACUCCUGCGAGAGGGAGCAGAAGGGAAUCUUCGGCAGUGGGCGAGAGCCUGACGGAGCAACGGCGCGUGAGAUGUGAAGAUGUUCGGAGCGUAAUGCUCUGUUAUUAGUGAAGAACAACUGUGGACGGGGCUGUACACUUUUUGACGGUACCUGAACAGAAAGCCACGGCUAACUACGUG